rnacentral:lncRNA from 1 species
UUAGAAGUUCAUAUUUAAUGGUAAUGUGAGAUAACCUGUGUCUAAUUAACUUGAAAUACGUAACUAGAGAUGGCUACAGAACAUGAUAUAAUUAAACAAAAGUGGUUCUUUGUUUUACCCGUCCGAGACCGAAACAGAUGUAACACAAGUAAUAAAUACAUGAAUACCCUAUUUAUGAUAACUUUAUUCGUGAAUGCAGGUUCUUAAUGUACCAGGUUCUUCGGGUGGCCAAAAUAAUGGCUACAGAACAUGAUAUACUUUGCUUUCAUUUCAUUGAUCUUGACGUCAUAGUUUUUUUCGUUACUUUCCGACACCACUAUAGUUCCACGCCAAUUGUUCUUAUUUGCCAGAAAUAAGUCGACGGCAUUAGCUGCAUGAAUGCUGUCUAUAAAAAUUUUCUGCCUUUGUCCAAACUGGAUUUCUUCCAUCGUUUCCUGCAAAUGAGAGUUUAAAGAGGGAAAGGAGAAGAGUGAGUUGGUAAUAUGUUAGAAACAAAGAUAUAAAGAAAAUACAAUUAUUCAUACUUUUCUUUUUCCUUUUCCUUUUCCACUGCUGCUCCCUUGUUCUUCCAUUUUUCUUUUUUCUCUUUUGCAGUUCAAUGAAGGAAGCUAGAAUGUAAUUCUCUUAUGGAGGAUAGGGAAGUGGGAGAGCUAUAAAUAGAGCUAAGGAGGGAUCAGGGAAGGGGAAUUGCAAACAAAACAUAAGAUGGACAUUAUUGGUUCUGCAUUAGUAGAAGAAAAAAAAAUUCAAAAAUAAAAUGAUA